GGUUCGGUAGCUCAGUCGGUAGAGCAGAGGACUGAAAAUCCUCGUGUCGGCGGUUCGAUUCCGUCCCGAACUACCA
rnacentral:tRNA from 1 species